UGGUGGAGAGUAUCGCCGGGACCUGAAACGAUUGUGAGAACUCGAGCCAGAGGAAGGACAUGAAGAUGAGGAAGGACUGGUUGAGGAGGUGGAAGGAGGUGAGUCGCCGGCGGCGGAGGAUGGUGAAGAAUGUGCGGAAGAGGUGGAGGAACCGGGAGAGGUAGAAGACGUAGGACCAGAAGAAGACGCGCCCGGAGGGGCGCGUGCCGAGCGGGAAGCAGAAGAGCCACUGGAACGGGGUGGUCUUGGUCCGCCGCCAGAGCCACCGCGUGUCUCGAAUCUCUGCGGCGGCUGAGAGGAGCAUGCCGACGAAGAUCACGGCGGAUAUUAGAGCCAUCAGGAGGCUGUGCGCGGCGGGGAUGGGGCCGAGGGGGACCGGACGGCGGCGGCGGAAGAGGGUGAGGAGGAGGUGGAGUGUGACGGCAGCGGCGAUGUAGGCGGGGAUGACGGUGAAGAGGAAGGACCACGUGGAGCCCCAGGAUUGGGUCGUGCUCCACCGGAAGUUUAGUAUCCUAGGGUGCUCCGAUAGGCAGUACUUGAUGCCUUGUAACAUUUUCA
rnacentral:lncRNA from 1 species